UGACUGGAUUGCUUUCAAAAAGAGUUAAAUGCUUCUCUAGGAAUUUACAUUGUAUUGUGCUCUCUUUGCUCUUGCUGUCCAGAUAAUGUUGUGGAUGAAGAUGGAUCCAAAGAUGGUCAUGGUGAAGGCAAUUCUAAGAUAGAGUCAGACUAGAAGGUAUCGCCUUUAUCAACACUUGAAUCGUCAUUUGAGUCCCUCAAUGUGAAGAAAUUUGAUAGUAUUGAUCUUUCUUUCGCCAAAGGAUGGUGAAUUCCAUAGGCA